rnacentral:rRNA from 1 species
UACGUAGGGGGCAAGCGUUGUCCGGAUUUAUUGGGCGUAAAGAGCGUGUAGGCGGCCAGUUAGGUCCGUUGUGAAACUCGAGGCUCAACCUCGAGACGCCGAUGGAAACCCUCGAACUAGAGUCCGGAAGAGGAGAGUGGAAUUCCGUGGUGUAGCGGUGAAAUGCGCAGAUAUCAGGAAGAACACCCGUGGCUAAGGCGGCUCUCUAGUACGGUACUGACGCUGAGACGCGAAAAGCGUGGGGAGCGAACAGG